rnacentral:rRNA from 1 species
UACGAAGGGGGCUAGCGUUGCUCGGAAUCACUGGGCGUAAAGCGCACGUAGGCGGACUCUUAAGUCGGUGGUGAAAUCCUGGAGCUCAACUCCAGAACUGCCUUUGAUACUGCAAAUCUCGAGUCCGGAAGAGGUGAGUGGAAUUCCUAGUGUAGAGGUGAAAUUCGUAGAUAUUAGGAAGAACACCAGUGGCGAAGGCGGCUCACUGGUCCGGUACUGACGCUGAGGUGCGAAAGCGUGGGGAGCAAACAGG